CAGCAGCCACGGUAAUACAGAGGGUGCGAGCGUUAAUCGGAUUUACUGGGCGUAAAGCGUGCGUAGGCGGCUUUUUAAGUCGGAUGUGAAAUCCCUGAGCUUAACUUAGGAAUUGCAUUCGAUACUGGGAAGCUAGAGUAUGGGAGAGGAUGGUAGAAUUCCAGGUGUAGCGGUGAAAUGCGUAGAGAUCUGGAGGAAUACCGAUGGCGAAGGCAGCCAUCUGGCCUAAUACUGACGCUGAGGUACGAAAGCAUGGGGAGCAAACAGGAUUAGAUACCCCUGUAGUCCCUGUCUCUUAUAC
rnacentral:rRNA from 1 species